rnacentral:rRNA from 1 species
AGACCGGCGCACGGGUGCGUAACGCGUAUGCAAUCUACCUUUUACAGAGGGAUAGCCCAGAGAAAUUUGGAUUAAUACCUCAUAGUAUAUAGCCCUGGCAUCAGGAUUAUAUUAAAGUCACAACGGUAAAAGAUGAGCAUGCGUCCCAUUAGCUAGUUGGUAAGGUAACGGCUUACCAAGGCUACGAUGGGUAGGGGUCCUGAGAGGGAGAUCCCCCACACUGGUACUGAGACACGGACCAGACUCCUACGGGAGGCAGCAGUGAGGAAUAUUGGACAAUGGGCGCAAGCCUGAUCCAGCCAUGCCGCGUGCAGGAUGACGGUCCUAUGGAUUGUAAACUGCUUUUAUACGAGAAGAAACACUCCUUCGUGAAGGAGCUUGACGGUAUCGUAAGAAUAAGGAUCGGCUAACUCCGUGCCAGCAGCCGCGGUAAUACGGAGGAUCCAAGCGUUAUCCGGAAUCAUUGGGUUUAAAGGGUCCGUAGGCGGUUUAAUAAGUCAGUGGUGAAAGCCCAUCGCUCAACGGUGGAACGGCCAUUGAUACUGUUAGACUUGAAUUAUUAGGAAGUAACUAGAAUAUGUAGUGUAGCGGUGAAAUGCUUAGAGAUUACAUGGAAUACCAAUUGCGAAGGCAGGUUACUACUAAUUGAUUGACGCUGAUGGACGAAAGCGUGGGUAGCGAACAGGAUUAGAUACCCUGGUAGUCCACGCCGUAAACGAUGGAUACUAGCUGUUGGAAGCAAUUUCAGUGGCUAAGCGAAAGUGAUAAUAUCC